AUUGAACGCUGGCGGCAUGCCUUACACAUGCAAGUCGAACGGCAGCACGGGGCAACCUGGUGGCGAGUGGCGAACGGGUGAGUAAUGCAUCGGAACGUGCCAUUGAGUGGGGGAUAACGUAGCGAAAGUUGCGCUAAUACCGCAUAUUCUGUGAGCAGGAAAGCAGGGGGACCGCAAGGCCUUGCGUUCUGGGAGCGGCCGAUGUCGGAUUAGCUAGUUGGUGGGGUAAAAGCCUACCAAGGCGACGAUCCGUAGCGGGUCUGAGAGGAUGAUCCGCCACACUGGGACUGAGACACGGCCCAGACUCCUACGGGAGGCAGCAGUGGGGAAUUUUGGACAAUGGGCGGAAGCCUGAUCCAGCCAUGCCGCGUGAGUGAAGAAGGCCUC
rnacentral:rRNA from 1 species